GACCAAGGAGUCUAACAUGUAUGCGAGUCAUUGGGAAUUACUAAACCCAAAGGCAUAAUGAAAGUGAAGAUCCAAUUAUAUGGAUAUGAGGAGAGAUCAUGGCUUUGGACUUGAUAUUCUGAAGAGUUUAUUGAGUAAAGUAUGCGCAUCUCCUGGACGUCUUAACCUUUGAAGGUAGGGCGUACCUAGAGCAUACACGUUGGGACCCGAAAGAUGGUGAACUAUGCCUGGUCAGAACGAAGUCAGGGGAAACCCUGAUGGAGGUUCGUAGCGAUUCUGACGUGCAAAUCGAUCGUCGGAACUGGGUAUAGGGGCGAAAGACUAAUCGAACCAUCUAGUAGCUGGUUCCCUCCGAAGUUUCCCUCAGGAUAGCUGGCGCUUGUACCAGUCUCAUCCGGUAAAGCGAAUGAUUAGAGGCCUUGGGGCCGAAACGACCUCAACCUAUUCUCAAACUUUAAAUGGGUGAGAAGUUAGGCUUGCUUGAAUUGAAGCUCUAACAAUGGAUGGUGAGUGCCAAGUGGGCCACUCUU
rnacentral:rRNA from 1 species